UGGACGACACCGGAAUCGAACCGGGGACCUCGCGCAUGCUAAG
rnacentral:tRNA from 1 species